rnacentral:rRNA from 1 species
UCUGUUUGAUCCUGGCAGAGGCCACUGCUAUCGGGGUUCGAUUAAGCCAUGCGAGUCGAGAGGUGCAAGACCUCGGCGCACUGCUCAGUAACACGUGGACAACCUACCCUGUGGAGGGGGAUAACCCCGGAAAACUGGGGAUAAUACCCCAUAGGUUAGGGAGGCUGGAAUGCCCCCUAGCUCAAAGGUCCGCCGCCACAGGAUGGGUCUGCGGCCGAUUAGGUUGUUGUUGGGGUAACGGCCCAACAAGCCUUUGAUCGGUACGGGUUGUGGGAGCAAGAGCCCGGAGAUGGAUUCUGAGACACGAAUCCAGGCCCUACGGGGCGCAGCAGGCGCGAAAACUUUACAAUGCGAGAAAUCGUGAUAAGGGAACCCCGAGUGCCCGUAAAUUCGGGCUGUCCGCCAGUGCAAAAAACUGGUGAAGAAAGAGCCGGGCAAGACCGGUGCCAGCCGCCGCGGUAAUACCGGCGGCUCGAGUGGUGGCCACUAUUACUGGGCUUAAAGCGUCCGUAGCUUGGUUGUUAAGUCUCCAGGGAAAUCCAUCGGCUCAACCGAUGGGCGUUCAGGAGAUACUGGCAACCUAGGGACCGGGAGAGGUGAGAGGUACUCCAGGGGUAGGAGUGAAAUCCUGUAAUCCUUGGGGGACCACCUGUGGCGAAGGCGUCUCACUAGAACGGCUCCGACAGUGAGGGACGAAAGCUGGGGGAGCAAACCGGAUUAGAUACCCGGGUAGUCCCAGCUGUAAACGAUGCGCGUUAGGUGUAUCGGUGACCACGAGUCACCGAGGUGCCGAAGAGAAAUCGUGAAACGUGCCGCCUGGGAAGUACGGUCGCAAGGCUGAAACUUAAAGGAAUUGGCGGGGGAGCACCACAACAGGUGGAGCCUGCGGUUUAAUCGGACUCAACGCCGGGAAGCUCACCGGAUAAGACAGCUGAAUGAUAGCCGGGUUGAAGACUCUGCUUGACUAGCUGAGAGGAGGUGCAU